rnacentral:RNase_P_RNA from 1 species
CCGAGCAGUCGGCUUGUCGCUCGAUUCUAGUACGAAUCGGGAGGAAAGUCCGGACACCAUAGUGCAGCACAACGGGUAACGCCCGUCGGUUCGUCUAGGCGAAUCAGGACCAGUGCAACAGAAAGAAUGUACAGUUCGGCUGUAGUGAAAUCAGGUAAACUCUGUGUGGUGAAAUGCUAUGUAUAUCGGCUGAAAAGGGCGGCACGUCCGACGCCGAGGGGUAAGCAGCUUAGAUUUCGUCGGUAACGACGAAACCAGAUAAAUGACAAGCUCAAACAGAAUCCGGCUUAUAGACUGCAUUUUUUU